UAGGCCAUAACUCACUCAAAACACUUGAUGUUUUCCUUCCUUUUCUCUCUGUGAGUCAUACAGUUCCAAAGUGGAUAGUGUUGCAUUAAGCAGUUAAUUUGGUAUGUUUUGACGUCUCUCCUGAAUCCAUGUAUUACAUUUAGAACCAAGAAACAAUUUGUCAUUGUAAUAAGUUGGAAUAUCUAUUCCACUGUAGUUUUCUAUUGGUGACUCAUUCCUACAAAGUUCCAGAGGUCAUCUAGUGUGUAUUUACUCGUGGAAUAUAACUGGGAACUGGAGAAGUGCUAGCAAAUGCUGCACUAGCGUCUAGGAACAGAUAUGACUAUCCAUUUUGUUGAUCACUACAGUAGAAUUAAAGACUAGUUGAAUAUAAGACCACAACUGAGUUUCAUAAAAAUUACAAUCAUGAUGCGAUCAAUAAAUUCAAGAAGAUUCACAGUCAAAUACUCAAGAAGCUUAGG
rnacentral:misc_RNA from 1 species